rnacentral:rRNA from 1 species
GUCUACAGCCAUGCCAUCCUGAACACUCCCGAUCUCGUCUGAUCUCGGAAGCUAAGCAGGGUCAGGCCUGGUUAGUACCUGGGUGAGAGACCACCUAGGAAGACCAGGUGCUGUAGGCG